rnacentral:rRNA from 1 species
CCUACGGGAGACAGCAGUCGAGAAUCAUUCACAAUGGGGGAAACCCUGAUGGGGCGACGCCGCGUGGGGGAAUGAAGGUCUGCGGAUUGUAAACCCCUGUCAUGUGGGAGCAAAUUAAAAAGGUAGUACCACAAGAGGAAGAGACGGCUAACUCUGUGCCAGCAGCCGCGGUAAGACAGAGGUCUCAAGCGUUGUUCGGAACCACUGGGCGUAAAGCGUGCGUAGGCGGUUUCGUAAGUCGUGUGUGAAAGGCGCGGGCUCAACCCGCGGACGGCACCUGAUACUGCGAGACUAGGGUAAUGGAGGGGGAACCGGAAUUCUCGGUGUAGCCGU